rnacentral:misc_RNA from 1 species
GGAAAGAGAAGCAUCUGGAUAAAAGGUGGCAAAAGGUGUUAGUCCACUAUGCAAUAUUCUUUGCACUCCUGUUUAUCAGACUUGUGUGUAUAUGGACAUUAGUUUGAGGUUAAGUCUUACUUAGUAUGUAUAUGUGUAUUGUCCUCGUGUCAGUUAAAAACCAUUUAAAUAAAAUAAAGCUUCCCUUCAUUUAAAUCAUGAGUUUACAAGCAACAUAAAACAGUGCAUAGAAACAAAGAAAUUUAUAAAGUAG